GACGAACCGUGCGAACGUUGUUCGGAAUCACUGGGCUUAAAGGGCGCGUAGGCGGCUUGAUAAGGUUGCGGUGAAAGCCCGGGGCUCAACCCCGGGUCGGCCGUGGCAACUGUCGAGCUGGAGCACUGUAGAGGCAGGUGGAAUUCCGGGUGUAGCGGUGGAAUGCGUAGAGAUCCGGAAGAACACCGGUGGCGAAGGCGGCCUGCUGGGCAGUGGCUGACGCUGAGGCGCGACAGCGUGGGGAGCAAACAGG
rnacentral:rRNA from 1 species